rnacentral:rRNA from 1 species
UGGGGAAUAUUGCACAAUGGGCGCAAGCCUGAUGCAGCCAUGCCGCGUGUAUGAAGAAGGCCUUCGGGUUGUAACGUACUUUCAGCGGGGAGGAAGGGAGUAAAGUUAAUACCUUUGCUCAUUGACGUUACCCGCAGAAGAAGCACCGGCUAACUCCGUGCCAGCAGCCGCGGUAAUACGGAGGGUGCAAGCGUUAAUCGGAAUUACUGGGCGUAAAGCGCACGCAGGCGGUUUGUUAAGUCAGAUGUGAAAUCCUCGGGCUCAACCUGGGAACUGCAUCUGAUACUGGCAAGCUGGAGUCUCGUAGGGGGGGGUAGAAUUCAAGGUGUAGGGGUGAAAUGCGUAACGAUCUGGAGGAAUACCGGUGGCGAACGCUGCCCCCUGGACGACGCCUGACGCUCAGGUGCGAAAGCGUGGGAAGCAAACAGG